ACGAACGCUGGCGGCGUGCUUAACCCAUGCAAGUCGCACGGAAAGGCCCUGCUUUUGUGGGGUGCUCGAGUGGCGAACGGGUGAGUAACACGUGAGUAACCUGCCCUUGACUUUGGGAUAACUUCAGGAAACUGGGGCUAAUACCGGAUAGGAGCUCCUGCUGCAUGGUGGGGGUUGGAAAGUUUCGGCGGUUGGGGAUGGACUCGCGGCUUAUCAGCUUGUUGGUGGGGUAGUGGCUUACCAAGGCUUUGACGGGUAGCCGGCCUGAGAGGGUGACCGGCCACAUUGGGACUGAGAUACGGCCCAGACUCCUACGGGAGGCAGCAGUGGGGAAUAUUGCACAAUGGGCGGAAGCCUGAUGCAGCAACGCCACGUGCGGGAUGACGGCCUUCGGGUUGUAAACCGCUUUCGCCUGUGACGAAGCGUGAGUGACGGUAAUGGGUAAAGAAGCACCGGCUAACUACGUG
rnacentral:rRNA from 1 species